rnacentral:rRNA from 1 species
UACGGAGGGUGCAAGCGUUAUCCGGAUUCACUGGGUUUAAAGGGUGCGUAGGUGGGUUGGUAAGUCAGUGGUGAAAUCUCCGAGCUUAACUUGGAAACUGCCAUUGAUACUAUCAAUCUUGAAUAUUGUGGAGGUCAGCGGAAUAUGUCAUGUAGCGGUGAAAUGCUUAGAUAUGACAUAGAACACCAAUUGCGAAGGCAGCUGGCUACGCAUAUAUUGACACUGAGGCACGAAAGCGUGGGGGAUCAAACAGG